GACGAACGCUGGCGGCGUGCCUAAUACAUGCAAGUAGAACGAGUUGCGAACGGGUGAGUAACGCGUGGUAACCUGCCUCAUAGCGGGGGAUAACUAUUGGAAACGAUAGCUAAUACCGCAAACUGUGAGAUGGACAUGCGUUGUAUUAGCUAGUUGGUGAGGUAAAGGCUCACCAAGGGGACGAUACAUAGCUGGUCUGAGAGGAUGACCAGCCACACUGGAACUGAGACACGGUCCAGACUCCUACGGGAGGCAGCAGUGGGGAAUAUUGCACAAUGUGCGCAAGCCUGAUGCAGCCAUGCCGCUUGUUUGAAGAAGGCCUUCGGGUUGUAAAGUACUUUCAGCGAGGAGGCGUUACUCGCAGAAGAAGCACCGGCUAACUCCGUGCCAGCAGCCGCGGUAAUAC
rnacentral:rRNA from 1 species